rnacentral:rRNA from 1 species
GUCAAGUCAUCAUGCCCCUUAUGUCCAGGGCUGCAAACAUGCUACAAUGGCCGGUACAAAGGGCUGCUAUCCUGCGAGGGUGCGCGAAUCCCAAAAAGCCGGUCUCAGUUCGGAUCGCAGUCUGCAACUCGACUGCGUGAAGUCGGAGUCGCUAGUAAUCCCGGAUCAGCCACGCCGGGGUGAAUACGUUCCCGGGCCUU